rnacentral:rRNA from 1 species
CCUACGGGUGGCUGCAGUGGGGAAUAUUGGACAAUGGGGGGAACCCUGAUCCAGCCAUGCCGCGUGUGUGAAGAAGGCCCUCGGGUUGUAAAGCACUUUCAGUGAGGAAGAACGCCUGGUGGUUAAUACCCAUCAGGAAAGACAUCACUCACAGAAGAAGCACCGGCUAACUCCGUGCCAGCAGCCGCGGUAAUACGGAGGGUGCGAGCGUUAAUCGGAAUUACUGGGCGUAAAGCGCGCGUAGGUGGCUUGAUAAGCCGGUUGUGAAAGCCCCGGGCUCAACCUGGGAACGGCAUCCGGAACUGUCAAGUUAGAGUGCAGGAGAGGAAGGUAGGAUUCCCGGUGUAGCGGUGAAAUGCGGCGAGAGCCGGAGGAAUACCAGUGGUGAAGGCGGCCUUCUGGACUGACACUGACACUGAGGUGCGAAAGCGUGGGUAGCAAACAGGAUUAGAUACCCUUGUAGUA